CUCGGGCCUCAGGCUGGGUGGAGCUGGGCACCAGGGUGUUGGUGGCAGCGCUGAGGGGCCCCCACUGCCCCGUCAUGGCAUCUACUCUCACCGUCCUCUUCCUCUCGCCAGACGCGAAGACGGGGGCAGCUACACCUGUCGUUAUAGCUACAGAACAGGAUCAGCUGCCUUCUCGGAGCCCAGAGACCCUGUGCAGAUCAUUGUAGCAGGCUCCAGCAGCAGCUGCUCUUCCCGCCCCCUGGUGGCACAGGCCGGUCACUGCAGGAAUCAGACCGGGUCCGGUCAGUGUCACUGCCAGGUUCCCUUUUCAGCCAGACUUUCCUGCUGAAAACGACCCCGGCAACCCCGGGCCCUGCGGUGCCGGGCGCCAGCGACCAGCCCGGCAUCCCCGCUCCCAGCCCCACCCCCAGCCGGACCCUCGGCAGCUUGGCACUCACGGGGUGCUCAGAGCCCAGCAGAGGGGACCCCCGGCCACGGAGUCACUGGGGGGUUCCCCAGCCAGGGGGAGCAGCAGCCCCUGGAGAUUUGAGGCUGAGGGGGGAUCCUGGCCGCCAGAUGGCUGUCCCCACUCUGGGGACACACAGAGGAGUCGGGGCCAAGGGGCUUCUGAGCCGGCACUGCCCCCCCCCCCCAUGAAUGACAGUGAUGAUUGAAGCUGAGUUGUGGGGGGGGGGGGCAAUCACUGUCACUGUUUCAGCCCCUCCCCCCGACCCGACAGACACUGGUUAGAUUCCCUCAGGGGGAAUUGACCCAACCCAGUCUGGAGUGGCCCCGGCUCCCACCCACCCGGGCAGCUCGGGGCCAGGUACCGGGGUCGGGGGGGGGAAUCACCAUCAAACCAGCCCUGGAAGGCUCAUGCUGCCCAAGGAGCCACCCCUGGGGGUUGAGGCUGGUUGGGUGGGAUGGGGGAAUUGACUCCUGGUGCAUGAGCCCAGACAACAGGGGGCAGGGAAGCCCCUGCCCCUCCUUCCCCACCAGACCCCCAACUCCUCCGGCACCUCCUGUCCUAUAGGUUGCUGCCUGGAAGCGACUGGGGGAUCCCAAGAGAGGACAGGAUCUGGGAGUCCUGGCUUUGGGGUUGGGAGGAGCUGGGUGCCCAGGCGGCUCCUGGGGCUAGGGUUGCCAGGAGUCCGGUUUUUGACCCGAACACCCGGUUGCAAAGGGACCCUGUUGGGACAGUUAAAAGUCCGGUUGGCGGCACCGCGGGGCUGGCAGGAUCCCUGGCUGCUGUGGCUCUGCGCGGCUCUCGGGAAGCAGCCGGCAUCUCCCUCCGGCUCCGAGGCGCAGGGUGGCCACAGGAGCUCUGCGCACUGGCCCCGCCCCAAGCGCCGUCUCUGCAGCUCCCAUUGGCCAGGAAGCGCAGCCAAUGGGAGCUGCAGGGGGCAGCACCUCUGGGCAGAGGCAGUGCGCAGAACCCCCUGGCUGCCCCUCCAGCUCCCAGACAGGCUGGUCACUUCCCGGGAGACGCCUGAGGUAAGCGCCACCUGAGGCCUGCCCCCCGAACCCCCUCCUAUGCCCCAACUCAGGUGCACACCCUCUCAGGGUGCAAACCAAAAAUUGUAUUGUCUUGUGCUGCACAGAGAACUGUACUGUGUAAGCUAAUUGAAAUUUGCCUCCUCCCUCAAUGUCGAGGAAGAUAUGCACAGCUUUGUCCCCCCACCCCCCAGUAAUGAG